rnacentral:rRNA from 1 species
AUUGAACGCUGGCGGCAUGCCUUACACAUGCAAGUCGAACGGUAACAGGUCUUCGGAUGCUGACGAGUGGCGCACGGGUGAGUAAUACAUCGGAACGUGCCCGAUCGUGGGGGAUAACGAGGCGAAAGCUUUGCUAAUACCGCAUACGAUCUACGGAUGAAAGCGGGGGAUCUUCGGACCUCGCGCGGACGGAGCGGCCGAUGGCAGAUUAGGUAGUUGGUGGGAUAAAAGCUUACCAAGCCGACGAUCUGUAGCUGGUCUGAGAGGAUGAUCAGCCACACUGGGACUGAGACACGGCCCAGACUCCUACGGGAGGCAGCAGUGGGGAAUUUUGGACAGUGGGCGAAAGCCUGAUCCAGCCAUGCCGCGUGCAGGAUGAAGGCCUUCGGGUUGUAAACUGCUUUUGUACGGAACGAAAAGCCUCUUUCUAAUAAAGAGGGGUCAUGACGGUACCGUAAGAAUAAGCACCGGCUAACUACGU